ensembl:snoRNA
CUCAUACCUAAACACAGUAAAAGCCAUAUACAGCAAACCAGUUGCAUCAGUAGGUGGCGGAAAAGCGAAAGGCUAUGUUUACACUUAGUGUUUUGUCCUUCGAACAUCUGAAUGAUUAGUAGCCUAACAUU